UACGUAGGUGGCAAGCGUUAUCCGGAUUUAUUGGGCGUAAAGGGAACGCAGGCGGUCUUUUAAGUCUGAUGUGAAAGCCUUCGGCUUAACCGGAGUAGUGCAUUGGAAACUGUUUUUCUUGAGUGCUGGAGAGGCAAUCGGAAUUCCGUGUGUAGCGGUGAAAUGCGUAGAUAUACGGAGGAACACCAGUGGCGAAGGCGGAUUGCUGGACAGUAACUGACGCUGAGGCGCGAAAGCGUGGGGAGCAAACAGG
rnacentral:rRNA from 1 species